rnacentral:rRNA from 1 species
AUACGUAGGGUGCAAGCGUUAAUCGGAAUUACUGGGCGUAAAGCGUGCGCAGGCGGUUUUGUAAGACAGUGGUGAAAUCCCCGGGCUCAACCUGGGAACUGCCAUUGUGACUGCAAGGCUGGAGUGCGGCAGAGGGGGAUGGAAUUCCGCGUGUAGCAGUGAAAUGCGUAGACAUGCGGAGGAACACCGAUGGCGAAGGCAAUACCCGGGGCCUGCAUUGAAGCUCAUGCUCUAAAGCGUGGGGAGCAUACAGGUUUAGAUACCCUGGUAGUCAGCGCCCUAAACGAUUUCAACUGGUUGUUGGGGAUUUAUUUUCCCCGUACCUAACCCAAAGCGUGAAGUUGACCGCCUGGGGAGUACGGCCGUAAGGUGAAAGCUGAAAUUAAUUGAUGGGG